rnacentral:rRNA from 1 species
UACGAAGGGGCUAGCGUUGUCGGAAUUACUGGGCGUAAGCGCGCGCAGGUGGUUCUCAAGUCAGUGGUGAAGCCCGGAGCUCAACUCCGGAACUGCCAUUGAAACUGUGAAACUUGAGGACGGAGAGAGGUGGAGUGGAAUUCCCAGUGUAGAGGUGAAAUUCGUAGAUAUUGGGAAGAACACCGGUGGCGAAGGCGGCUCACUGGCUCGUAUCUGACACUCAAGCGCGACAGCGUGGGGAUCAAACAGGG